rnacentral:piRNA from 1 species
UCUAAAUCACAGAGUCCUUUGCCAAAGAA